rnacentral:rRNA from 1 species
GCCUACGGCCAUACCACCCUGAGAAUGCCUGAUCUCGUCUGAUCUCGGAAGCUAAGCAGGGUUGGGCCUGGUUAGUACUUGGAUGGGAGACCGCCUGGGAAUACCAGGUGCUGUAAGCU